AAUAGAGUAUGUGUUUGUGUGUGUGUGUGUGAGAGAGAGAGAGAGAGAGAGAGAGAGAGAGAGAAUAAGAGCCAAAAUGCAGCUGCUCUUCCCGCCGCUGGUUUAGCCACAAAUAGACUGACAGACUGGAGCAAGCAAGUCCUGAGACACCUUCAUCAAUUAAUGCCCCCAGAGCUGGGUGCCGAUUGGAUGCUGCUGACAGGUUUAAAGGCUCAAUGGAGGAAAUUCCACACCGGUUUUUGCUCAGUGGCAGCGAAAACCCCCCCUAGAAAUAAUAGGGUCGCUUGGGCAGUCGGAGGAUGUUGUACAUUACAUACCUUUAACCCGAUUGUCUGCAUAUUCAGUAAAUAAAUAAGCACAAAAUAUCUGUGGCAUUGGACGCUAAAUGUUGCUUAAAUGUCCAGCCCAAAGAAUACUAAAAUAAACUUUAUUCAAUUA